GGCAACUUGGCCGAGUGGUCUAUGGCGCUGCAUUCAAGAGAAUUGAACUCUUUCUGUGUUGUAAACACUGAAAUUCGCAGUCACGAAAGUGGCAAGGGUUCGAAUCCCUUAGUUGUCA